UACAAGACUAUGGGCUCUAUGGUGGCGG
rnacentral:sRNA from 1 species